rnacentral:sRNA from 1 species
GCAGGCGCUUCCCUGUGUGGCCGAGUCGCCGACCGUCCACGUGGAGGUGCAUCAGCGCGGCAGCAGCACUGCAAAGAAAGAAGACAUAACCCUGAGUGUUAGAAAGCUACUCAACAGACAUAAUAUUGUGUUUGGGGAUUACACAUGGACUGAGUUUGAUGAACCUUUUUUGACCAGAAAUGUGCAGUCUGUGUCUAUUGUUGACACAGAAUUAAAGGUUAAAGACUCACAGCUGAAUGAAGAUGGCCCCAGCAGUGAAAAUCUGGAGGAAGAGACAGAAAACAUAAUUGCAGCAAAUCACUGGGUUCUACCU